rnacentral:rRNA from 1 species
UACAGAGGUCUCAAGCGUUGUUCGGAUUCAUUGGGCGUAAAGGGUGCGUAGGUGGCGCGGUAAGUCGGGUGUGAAAUCUCGGAGCUUAACUCCGAAACUGCAUUCGAUACUGCCGUGCUCGAGGACUGGAGAGGAGACUGGAAUUCAUGGUGUAGCAGUGAAAUGCGUAGAGAUCAUGAGGAAGACCAGUGGCGAAGGCGGGUCUCUGGACAGUUCCUGACACUGAGGCACGAAGGCCAGGGGAGCAAACGGG